AGUGAACGCUGGCGGUAGGCCUAACACAUGCAAGUCGAACGGCAGCACAGUAAGCGCUUGCUCUUACGGGUGGCGAGUGGCGGACGGGUGAGGAAUACAUCGGAAUCUACUUUUUCGUGGGGGAUAACGUAGGGAAACUUACGCUAAUACCGCAUACGACCUACGGGUGAAAGCAGGGGAUCUUCGGACCUUUCGCGAUUGAAUGAGCCGAUGUCGGAUUAGCUAGUUGGCGGGGUAAAGGCCCACCAAGGCGACGAUCCGUAGCUGGUCUGAGAGGAUGAUCGGCCACACUGGAACUGAGACACGGUCCAGACUCCUACGGGAGGCAGCAGUGGGGAAUAUUGGACAAUGGGCGCAAGCCUGAUCCAGCCAUACCGCGUGGGUGAAGAAGGCCUUCGGGUUGUAAAGCCCUUUUGUUGGGAAAGAAAAGCAGCAGGAUAAUACCCCGCUGUUCUGACGGUACCCAAAGAAUAAGCACCGGCUAACUUCGUG
rnacentral:rRNA from 1 species